CGGGUAGAGUAAUGCGUGACCAACCUGCCCCAUGCUCCAGAAUAGCUCUUGGAAACGGGUGGUAAUGCUGGAUGCUCCAACUUGACGCAUGCUUGUUGGGAAAGUGUUUAGUGGCAUGGGAUGGGGUCGCGUCCUAUCAGCUUGUAGGCGGGGUAAUGGCCCACCUAGGCUUCGACGGGUAGCCGGCCUGAGAGGGCGGACGGCCACAUUGGGACUGAGAUACGGCCCAGACUCCUACGGGAGGCAGCAGCU
rnacentral:rRNA from 1 species